AGCCACUUAGUCCCUCAAGAUGCAAGGUUUGCUAAGUGUUUUGAGGUUGCAAACUGACUUCUGGGUUUUGAGAACUAUUUGACUUUCUGGCUUCACAACUGGCCAUCAAACUACAGUCAGUCAUGCAACAGGAGCCUCUGAUGACGACCCUUUCUGCUGGGAACCCUUAAAUAGGCCUCUGAGGGAGCUCUGACUGCGGCUUCCCCCAAAACAGCGCCCCCUGUCAGCAGGAGGCAGUUAAGAUCGCUCUUCUUCCUUAUCCUUAUUCUAAUGGCAGUUAGAUGUACCUCUCUAGAGCGGGGAAUGAGACAGCCAGGUGGGAGGGGGUCCCCAGAGAAACUCCAGCUGGCCUGCACACUGGGAUGGAGCCACAAUAGUUCACAUCCUUUGCAGCAGGGAGGAGCCAGCUCCUCCUCUUCUGUGUGGAACCUGGAAUUCAAGCCGCUGGCGGCAAGCACUCUAGCAGGGACUCUGACUUGUUGAGGAUCCCUGUUUCCCCCUUUUUCUCCCCACUUUUCACCGAAUAAAACUUUGUCUUACCCACCCUUCAAACCGUCUUUGAGCCUAAAUUUUCAUGGCCCGGGGACGGACAAGGACCCUGUCUUUAGCUGAACAGACCUGCAAAAUAUUGAUGUCUUUGCCUGUAACUCUUGCCUCCCCGAAAGGUAUAAUACUCAACUGCAACCCAGCUCCCUCAAUAUUUUAAAUCUUUAUUGUAAAAACAUCUUAUUUUAAGAAAUGGGAUGUGCAAGGGAAAUGGUAAUUAUGUUCCCAAAGCAUCAAUAAUUUCAAAAAGAGAAUGCAGGGGAAGAUUGCUUUCCAUAGUUUUAGCAUAGAAAGUUUAAUACUCUAUCACAAACAAGGCACCUUCUCCCUGUAGCCCUCUGCAGCUUUCAGAGCACACUGUGAUACAAUUUCAAAAGGAAGCCACUUUUAUAAAUUCAUACCCACCCUGGUGUGCAACUGAAAAAAGUGAAAAAGUAAAACCCACUUUCUCAGGACCUCUUGAGACUGUGUUCCCCCGCCAUGGUCACUCAUAUUGGCUCAGAAUAAACCUCUUUAAAAUAUUUUACAGAGCUGGUUUUUCUGUUAACAAUGCCUAUUUUAUCAGUUAUUUUAUUCAUUUACCCCUGAAAUCUUAAAACAGACUUAAGGAAAUUCACAAAUACCAAUAGAUAAGAUAAAGCUACGUUAACAAUAAGUAAGGAAGGAAAUAUGGGCAAAAGAAAAAUAAAGCAGAGAGCUGGGAUGCCAGAUGGCUUGAAAGUCAAACAUAUGUAAAUAAAAAGCAUUAAUAAUCAUCUUAAUUAUAUUCUAUGUUAUAUUUUAUUUCAGAUAAUGGAGCUAUUUUUUUCUUUCGUUGUCCAAGUGGAAGAUGUUAAAAAAGAAACCCUCAAUGGUAAUGCAGUUUAUACCAACUUCACACAAUCUGUUACACUCAUUGAUCCGUGGAAUAAUCAUGACACUCAAAUGAAUUUGUAUGCUGGUAUUUACUAUGGGAAUGUAAAAAGAAUAUUACACUAGGUUUUGACAGAUUUGGGCUAACAGGUAAAUCUUUAUUGUAAAAGAUUUUAUUUUAAGAAAUGGGAUGUACAAGGGAAAUGGUAAUUAUGUUCCCAAAGCAUCAAUAAUUUCAAAAAGAGAAUGUAGAAGAAGAUUGUUUUCCAUAGUUUUAACACAGAAAAUUUAAUACUCUAUCAAAAAGAAGGCACCUUCUCCCUGUAGCCUCUGAAGCUUUCAGAGCACACUGUAAUACAAUUUCAAAAGGAAGCCACUUCUAUAAAUUCAUACCCACCCUGGUGUGCAACUGACAGCUUCAGAGGUAACAUUAUUGACUGCUUACACAAGAAAAUCUUCAUGCAAUGCAAAUUUAAAUUUCCAAG
rnacentral:lncRNA from 1 species